rnacentral:rRNA from 1 species
AAUAUUGCACAGUGGAGGAAACUCUGAUGCAGCGACGCCGCGUGAGCGAUGAAGGCCUUCGGGUCGUAAAGCUCUGUCCUAUGGGACGAUAUGACGGUACCAUAGGAGGAAGCCCCGGCUAACUACGUGCCAGCAGCCGCGGUAAUACGUAGGGGGCGAGCGUUGUCCGGAAUGACUGGGCGUAAAGGGUACGUAGGCGGCUAGGUAAGUCAGAUGUGAAAGGCAUGGGCUCAGCCUGUGUUAGCAUUUGAAACUGCUUAGCUUGAGUCAAGGAGAGGAAAGUGGAAUUCCUGGUGUAGCGGUGAAAUGCGUAGAUAUCAGGAGGAAUACCAGUGGCGAAGGCGACUUUCUGGACUUAGACUGACGCUGAGGUACGAAAGCGUGGGGAGCAAACAG